UACGUAGGGUGCAAGCGUUAAUCGGAAUUACUGGGCGUAAAGCGUGCGCAGGCGGUUCGGAAAGAAAGAUGUGAAAUCCCAGAGCUUAACUUUGGAACUGCAUUUUUAACUACCGGGCUAGAGUGUGUCAGAGGGAGGUGGAAUUCCGCGUGUAGCAGUGAAAUGCGUAGAUAUGCGGAGGAACACCGAUGGCGAAGGCAGCCUCCUGGGAUAACACUGACGCUCAUGCACGAAAGCG
rnacentral:rRNA from 1 species